UAAUGAGUGUAGGGUUAGUUGAUAGGAUAAUGAGGUGAUGGGUUUUAAUGAGUGUAGGGUUAGUUGGUAGGGUAAUGAGUGUAGGGUUAGUUGGUAGGGUAAUGAGGUGGUGGGUUAGUUGGUAGGGUAAUGAGUGUAGGGUUAGUUGGUAGGAUAAUGAGGUGGUGGUUAAUGAGUGU